rfam:Nicotiana sylvestris Nsyl_contig78051, whole genome shotgun sequence.
UGGACAGAUUAUUGUAUUCAACUGUAUUCACGACGUGAAAUAGGGGAUUACACUGUUUUUAAAACUGAAAGUGAAUCAAUUAACAUAAUAGAAUCCU